AGGCCCGAGCCGCACCCCGGGUUCUCCGGCUGCCCACCCUGCGGCCGCUCGCAUCCCCGGGCCGGGCCCGGCGGCCCCGCUCCUUCCUUCCGUCCGCGCGUCCGUCCGAGCGGCGGCGCCCGGCCGGCUCCCUUAAGCGGAGGCGCCUCCCGUCGCCUCCUCCCCCUCGCCGGUCCCUCCCUCUCAGCUCGCUCCGGCGAAGUUUGCACGUCAAGCCCCCGGAGUGGAGCCAGGGCGAAGUCGGAAACGCAGCCACCUAUGGAGGAGCCGGCCGGCCGGCCCCUGGGUAUCACCGAGUAUCGCAGCCAGGGCCGGGGCAGAGAAGCUCGUGCAGGGAAAAGCACUUGACUCUAGUCUCGCGGGCGGCCACACAGUUGUCAAAAAGCAUGAAUGGGACGCCGCCACAGCGGACGCCCGGCACGUAGGGAACCACAGACCAGUAUGGAAAUGCCGCCCAGGUAUUGGCCCAGGUGUCAGCCCCUCGUGCACGCGAUCGAGCCCACGUGUGUGCCCCAGUGCUCACAAGUGGAGGUCACGGUUUGCGCUCGGGGGACUUGGAAUUUCUCAUCUAACAAAAAAGAGACCACGAAAUCAGUGUAAUAGAGAGUACAGGAGAGGAAACCGAGGCGAUCUUUAUCCGUUUACAUGUUCAGAGUCACUACCUCAAAUUUCUGUAUUUUUCCUUCCGUUGCUCCUGGAAUUGAUUCAUUCA
rnacentral:lncRNA from 1 species